CCACAGUAAAAAGGAACAAAGAUCCACUGCAAAUGAAUGAACUAUGAUACAAUGUUCUUUCCAAAAUGUUUUCAUUUUGCAACUGUAAUUACAGAAUUGACAACAAACUCGAUGUAAGUUAAAUUUACAGUACUGUAUAAAGUUAUUCAGAUUCAAGGACAAAUGUCGGAGAAAUUAUUUGGCUAAACACACACUUAACUCGUGGCAGUGCUCUGAGAAAACCCCACUCGGGCUAAAGCACUUGCAGGGACUAUAGCUGAGUUACCACUUUUAAUCUUGGUCUGCCAUCUAUGCCCCAGAGACAAAAAUUCAGAUGCGGUGACUGCUGGUUAAUUAAACUUUUUGAACUGGUAAAAAAGGCUCUUAGGACAGGAGGUGGCUGAGGCUCUUCAGCAUGGCGCUGGUUCUGCAUCCACAGCUCAGCACCUCAACGCCUGCUGACGUGUCCGCUGUUUGUGAUACAGUAGAGCAAUAUGCUAGAUCCACUGAGUCUGGACAGACACUCAUGUCCUGGGCUUAGAUGCUUGACUCUUUAGGGGGCAGGUCCACAUUGGUGACAGAGGUCACCAGGGAAACGAGACAGUCCGAGGUAGUGCCGUUGACCGACCUCCGAAUCAGGGACACCCGCUCCUCCACACAGCCCGCGGACAAGCGAGCCUCUGCAUCAUGGUCCCAGCACUCCUCGAUGGUCACACAAAGCUGGGCCAGGCCC
rnacentral:lncRNA from 1 species